UACAGAGGGUGCAAGCGUUAAUCGGAAUUACUGGGCGUAAAGCGCACGUAGGCGGUUUUUUAAGUCAGAUGUGAAAGCCCCGGGCUCAACCUGGGAAUUGCAUUGGAAACUAGCGGGCUGGAGUGUGGCAGAGGGGGGUGGAAUUCCAGGUGUAGCAGUGAAAUGCGUAGAUAUCUGGAGGAACACCGAUGGCGAAGGCAGCCCCCUGGGCUAACACUGACGCUCAUGCACGAAAGCGUGGGGAGCAAACAGG
rnacentral:rRNA from 1 species